ACUAUAGCUCCAGGAGGGGAAUAGGCAGUCUCCUCGGGACUCUCAGAACCUUUAACAAACUACAGCUCCCAGAAUUCCUUGGGGGAAAGCCAUGUCUAUUUAAAGAGGCAUUACAGUGCAUUAAAGGUAUGGUGUGAAUGGAGCCUAACUCAGGUCUAUUAAUUUUAAUAGGUCUACUUUGAGUAGAACUUGGUUGGAGACAACCCUAGGUUCUUCAGAGUUUCCCUCCUAAUUUCCAAAGGUUGCUGAAAUCUCUCUUGGUGGCAGUGCCAGCGGGGGAUGUACUGUUCUUUCAAUACUGUGCUGACAACCAGUGGCAGACCUACAAUUUUGGGGGCCCUGAAGCUUGAACUGUUAUGGGGGCCCCUUCACAACCAGCAAUGAGGUCUGCGUAACCACUGUUAUUUUCUUCAGUGGGGUUAUUUGCAACAACCUGUACAACAUCUGUGCUAGUAAAGGUAAAGGGACCCCUGACCAUUAGGUCCAGUCGUCGCCGACUCUGGGGUUGUGGCACUCAUCUCGCUUUACUGGCUGAGGGAGCCGGCGUACAGCUUCCGGGUCAUGUGGCCAGCAUGACUAAGCUGCUUCUGGCAAACCAGAGCAGCACACGGAAGCACUGUUUACCUUCCCGUCAGAGCGGUACCUAUUUAUUUACUUGCACUUUGAUGUGCUUUCAAACUGCUAGGUUGGCAGGAGCAGGGACCAAGCAACGGGAGCUCACUCCGUCGCAGGGAUUCGAACUGCCGACCUUCUGAUCAGCAAUUCCUAGGCUCUGUGGUUUAACCCACAGCGCCACCCGUGUCCAUGUGCUACUGUGCUACUGACUUUCAAAUUUUGGGGUUGUUGAAAUAUAUACAGCAAAAAAUAAUCAGUUUGAGUCAUGCAACUUAAAUUGUGUCUCCUGGACCCAUUUUUUUUAAAAAAAGCAAUGUGGACUAAAGUAGUUUCUGGGCUCCCUCUGGGAUUAGUGGCCCUGAAGCUUAAGUUUCAUUAGUUUCAUAGUAGAUCUGCCCCAGCUGACAACAUUCCUUUCCUACCACAGCUCAUAAUCACUCUUUCUCCCGUCUUCUCAAAUCAUCUUUAUCAAAACCCAUAACCACUAUUGUGUGUUUUUUUCUUUUUUACCCCCUUCAGAAAAUUGGGCACGUUUCAUCAUGUCCCUUUAGCAGGAACACAAUGCAAAAAACAAAAGAAGUGGGGAGGGGGGAGGAAGAGAAAGCUUCAAUUCUGAGAAAAGACCUAGAGAGAAGAAGACAGCAGGAAAGAAACAAACCCAUGCUGACAUGAAAGUGUUGCUUUGUCUUCAGCUGUCUAAUUACGUGCACAUUCAUCAUGUGGUCUGCGCUUCAUAAAAGAGAUUGAAAUGAACCACUUUGGAAGUUUCAGAGCAAGAUAAGUGGUAUCUAGCAAUGGUGGGCUGGGGGGGGGGUAGACAAUGGGACCACUGCAAUCUGGAGGGAAGGGGUCGCAUGCUGAGUUUCUUUUUCUUUCAAGCUAAAGCAAUGUGAAGGAUGCGGGUGGCGCUGUGGUCUAAACCACAGAGCCUAGGGCUUGCCGAUCAGAAGGUCGGCGGUUCGAAUCCCCAUGACGGGGUGAGCUCCCGUUGUUCGGUCCCAGCUCCUGCCCACCUAGCAGUUCGAUAGCAUGUCAAGGGCAAGUAGAUAAAUAGGUUCUGCUCCGGCGGGAAGGUAAACGGCAUUUCCGUGUGCUGCUCUGGUUCGCCAGAAGCGGCUUAGUCAUGCUGGCCACAUGACCUGGAAGUCGUCUGCAGACAAAUGCCGGCUCCCUCAGCCUAUACAGCGAGAUGAGUGCCACAACCCCAGAGUUGUCCGCGACUGGACCUAACAGUCAGCGGUACCUUUACCUUUUUUAAGCAAGGCAAAGUUGUGGGUGAGUCAGGAGCCUCCCCCUGAACUGCCACAGAUGGAGGGGGGGGACUGCUGAAUACAGCCAUGCUCUCUGGUAGCGAUCGAAAAUAGUAGUGCCUGGUGAUGUGUGCGCUUGAUUGCUGCCUUUGGAAGGUGAACAAAUGGCUUUGUAGCGCAUUGAGUACAUUUUUGACGAGCUCCCCAACCAUGUAAGAGAAAUGGAAUGGAUGACUAGGUUACUCCAUAUCCACACUCCUCUAAACUAGACUUCCCCAAGCUGCUCCGCUUCAGCCAUUGCUGAACUACAUCCCCCACUGCCCUAGACCGGGAGGUCUGGAGGGUGGUAACACAAGAAUGGGUCAUUUUCAGUGGUAGCUUUCCAAUUUCGAAUUGCUCUCCCCCAGGGAGACUUGCCUGGUGCCAUCGUUAAUAUCUUUAGGCACCAAGCAAAAACAUUCCUUUUUAAUUAGGCCUUUGGCUUCUAACUAUCUAUGGCAUUUUUGCAUGGGCAGGAUGUUUUAAUGUAGUUUUUUUAAUAAAAAAAAUAGACUUGACUAUUUGCUUUUUAAUGCUAGUUUUAAUGUAUGGAAUCUUUUUGCUUAAAAUAUUGUAAGUUGCUUUGCAUUGCCUUGGCAUAAUAAUAAUAAUAAUAAUAAUAAUAAUCAGCAACAGAAGCUCUGGACAACAUGGGCAUUGUUUAGGGAUGAUAGGGGUCACAGUGGAGAGCUUAAUGAAGGCAUAAACCCAGCAUGUGGCAACAGUGAAAAAGGCAAAUUCCAUGCUGAGGAUCAUUAGGAAACGAACUGGAAAUAAAAUUGCCAGUAUCAAAUGCCAUUGUACAAAUGAUCUUAUAUAAUGCUGAAACAAAACACUGAGGAUUGUUUGGAUGUGUGUGAAUUUGGAUGUGGUGAACUGAACAGGAACCCAAAUAGUCCAUUUUGUAAAGGGACAACCAUGAACUGGCAUUAGUUCAUUUUUGGACAUGACCUUGAGCUGGAACCGUUCCUUUAAAAAAUGAAAUUCCCAAGUUAUGUUUAUGUUUUUCAGCUCCAGAAAGAACACCCUCCCUUCACCCCCACAUUUUAAAUAGAGCCAGAUUUCCCGUUUUCUUGCUUUUGAUUAUGUUCCUCAAAUCUUACUCACCAGCACCAAGAUUAUUCUUGACAACUGUGCACCUGUCAGUCAGAGCCGAUGGCAGGCUUGGAGAAAGCUUUAAGCACCAAGAAGGAUAAAGCUCCUGCUCUUUAAAGCUGCAAGCCUCUGAAAGUCUCCAGUGGAAACACACCAAUCUUAUUUUAUUUUAAAUAUUUAGAUCCCACCUUUUAGUAAAAAGAAACUUUCAAGGUGGCUUUCAAGGAAAUAUUGUGCUUUGGAAUCAGAUGGCUAGAAGCAGUGGUCCAAGUUGAAGGGACCCAAGAUCAGGAGAAGGAGCUCAGAACUGCAUGGAAGCAAGGGAGCUGUCCCAAUGGGUUGGCACACCCACCCGCCAAGUUUUUAAAGAUGUGGGUGGCAAGCUCACUUGUGAGACUCUCAUGUCUUGUGAGACUGUUGAGCAUUGCAAACACAUUCUACCUUGCAGAGGAAGCAUCUGUUCCCAACAGCAGGAGCAUUGCUGAGGCCUGCUGAGUCUCAACAGCAGGAGCAUUGCUGAGUCUUGGGUGACCAGGCUGUGCCCUCCCCUUCUGACCUCAAUUUCUCUACCCCUGGUAUUUGGUCAAUGCCCUCCCUGAAUUUAGUUGCUGUAUACUUUUCCCCGGGAGGGACGAGGGGGGAUGGAUUCUCACUUUCCCAGCUGGGGCAGCCAUAUCCUGGAAGGGGAAAGUACUCACCUUCUUCAGCCUCUGCUCCUCCCCGUCUCAGUUACCCCCAUAUCACCCUCCUGUCCCCACUCUCUCUGUCUUAGCCUGCCACUCCACUCCUGAGCCCGGUUACAGUGUGGUUAGCAUAUAAUACUUCCACACACACGCCUGUGCAUCCUGAGAUCACACUGGACAUUCAGGACAAGGCGAGGAUACUAUUUAACAUGUCUGAUUCAUCCAAUAUGACUCACUGUUGUACGGUUUGAGACCCGAAUUUUUAAAUAGCUUGGCUUCUUCAGCAAAUAAUAAUAAUAAUAAUAAUAAUAAUUUUAUUAUUUAUACCCCACCCAUCUGGCUGGGUUCCCCUGGCCACUCUGGGCAGCUUACAGCACAUAAAAAAUGGUAAAACAUUAGACAUUAAAAAUUUCCUGAUACAUGGUUGCCUUCAGAUGUCUUCUAAAAGUCAGAUAGUUGUUUAUUUCCUUGACAUCUGCCUGGUUCCCUGUAACCUCACUUCUCGCAGUGAGGGAACCAUCAGAAGGCCCUCAGAGCUGGACCUCAGUGUCCGGGCUGAACGAUGGGGGUGGAGACACUCCUUCAGGCAUACUGGGCCAAGGCCAUAUAAGCGACUAAAGGGGUUACGGCAAAGUCAUUUUGGGCAUGUGCAGAAGACCUUUUCAUUUACUUGGGCUACUCAGAAGUCACAGUAAGCAACAUCUGAUCAUCCUCAAAGAUGGGGGAGUUUGGCUGAUUCAUCAUAUCAACCACACAGAUAUAGAAAUAAGGUCUUAAUUGCAUUAUACGUAUUGGAUAGAAUUAUUGAAAUUUAACCAUUUUAGUCAAUUAAAGGCAUAGCUUGUCACACAGGAAUGAUGGACAAUAUAGAUUUGAAAGAGAGAUGGAUUCAUUAUACAUCUUGGUAGCAUUACUAGUCUCAAGCUGAAUGAUCCCAGCCCAAGCUUAUGACCUCAGUGAGUAGUAGGCCAGAGACCACUAUCAAAUUGCUCGUUACAGACACCUACUCCUGAGAGAGAAUUGAGAGAGGUAUUCACUUGAGUCAGAAAGCCUCCUAGCUUAAUCCUGCUAUGGUGUAAUGUAUGCAUUAUUCUUUCCUUAAGGCGUUGCCAAAAGGCAAAAUUUAACAGGCAGCUUCAUUCAGACUCUUUGUCCUGUCUCCCUGCCUUCCACAUUAUUAAAUGAAGCUAUAAAGAAUCAUAUGUAAUGAAGAACUCACAGCAAGCAUAAGGAAAAACCAGGGAGAAAAGCAGUGCAUCUUAUGAAGAGACAUAUUUAUUUCUCUUCUUGGCUAAGAAAAUAAUUUCAGGCCCCGAAAAACUUUUGCUACAGCAUAUAUCACAUACAGUAGUUGGGAGAGGCUGCUGCCUGAAGCCCUGGAGAGCUACUGACAGUCAGUGCAGACAAUACUAAGUUAGAUAGGCUAAUGGUUUAAGGCAGCUUCCUACAGUCCUAUGAUCCUAUGUGGAACCUCAGGCCUGGUGGUUGAAUGUUGCCCUCCAUGCCUCUGAAUCUGGUCCUCUGGACCCUUCCCAGGCCAAGACCCGUUGUUCUCAGGUCACACCCACCACCAUUUCUCAUUUGCACCCUCCUCAAGCAUUUUUGGCAGGCUGGAACGUGUCCUCAAACUCUGCUGUUUUCUUGCCUGAACAGGAGGGCAGAAAGGGAUGUGCGAAACUAGCCUAUUGUGUUCAGGUCAAAUUUACAUUCAUUGCUCCACCCACUUUCACCUCUGACUGCACCAAACACCCAGAAGAUGGGAAUGUUAGAGGAGGAUAUUCUUUCCAAAGUGUAUAUUAGCUAGGGCCAGUCCUACCAUUUGGCAAAGUGAAAAGUUUGCCUCAGGCAGGGAGAGCAGGAAACAGUGGUAAGCAGUGCUUUUUUUCUGAGGGGAUGCAGGAGUACACAUACCCCUAAACGUUUUGUGAAUCUUUGUACUUUGGUCCAUUUACUGUAUUUCUUUUCCCCCAUUUGAACUAUAAAAUGGAGGUUUUCUUGAGUCAAAAGGAGAGUACCCCUAAACAUUUUUUUUUAGAAAAAAAGCAAUGGCGGUGAGUGUUCUUCUCUAAAACUAAAAGACUAUGUAGCUAGGAUAGCUGGGAGAAUGUAGUAUGCUUACAUUAGAGGGCUGGUAGAGUUUAGGUGAGCCAAUGUAGGAUUCAGAAAUAGUUACCUCGUGGUUAAUUUUAAUCUUAACAUAUUGUUCUUCUGCGUAAAGUUUAAUAGCUUGAAUAGUUGAGUUGCAUAUUCACAUUGUAUUUUGUUUUCCAUAUAGCUUUUAUUUUAUCUACAGCAUCUCAAUUAUCUUCUGCUUAACUGCCAAAGUGGCUUCAGAUCUAUUUACAGGUAGAUAGAUAGAUAGAUAAACUUUAUUCGCGUUAGCCAACGGCCAUAGCAACAUAAAACAAGCAAUAUAUACAAUUAAAAAGACAACAAUGGGUAAAAAGGUCAAUCAAAUGACCAAGAUUAUGGUUCAGAUAGUGGCCCUUAAUUUCAUUGCACCCUUGAUAAACCUGGCAACCUUUGCUGUUGUCUGAUCAUUUUGAUCUGAUAAAAGAAAGAACAAUGUGGCUGCAGAUGGGUGGCCUGGGAUGGUAAGUAAGAGUGGGGUAAUGAUCUCAUUCCUCAGAUCCUUAUAAAGGGGACAGGACAAGGGAACAUGAGCCACUGUUUCCAGAUUGCCAUCUCCACAGGGGCAGAGUCGUUUCUCAGUUGGAAUCUUUUGGUAUCUGCCCUCAGAUCUAUUUACAGGUAUAAAACCACACACAAUUAAAAGAAAAGCACACACAUGAACAUGAGAAGAACCUGGCUGUAUCAGGUUGAAAACCCACCUGGUGCAGGAUCCUGCUCUCACAGUGGCCAACCAGAUGCCUCAAUGGGAACCCCAAAAGCAGGACCUGAACGCAACAGCACUCUCCCCUCCUGUGGUUUCCAACUACUGUUCUUCAGAAGCAUACAGCCUUUCACACUGGAGGCAGAGUACAGCCAUCCUGGCUAGUAGCCACAGAUAGCCGUAUCCUUCAGGAAUUUGUUUAAUCCUCUUUUCAAAUCUAACAGCACUCCCCUCGCUUGUGAUUCCCAGCAAUUGGAAUUCGGUGGAGGUAGACCACAGGGUAGCGCUGUGGGUAAAACCUCAGUGCCUAGGACUUGCCGAUCGUAUGGUCGGCGGUUCGAAUCCCCGCGGCGGGGUGAGCUCCCAUUGUUCGGUCCCAGCUCCUGCCCACCUAGCAGUUCGAAAGCACUCUUAAGUGCAAGUAGAUAAAUAGGUACCGCUUUAUAGCAGAAAGGUAAGUGGUGCUUCCGUGUGCUGUGCUGGUGCUGGCUCGCCAGCUGCAGCUUCGUCACGCUAGCCACGUGACCCGGAAGUGUCUUCGGACGGCGCCGGCUCAUGGCCUCUAGAGCGAGAUGAGCACGCAACCCUAGAGUCGGACACGACUGGCCCAUACGGGCAGGGGUACCUUUACCUUUACCUAGACCACAGCCAUCGUGGUAGGCAUUGAAAAUACACUCUGAAACAACUGCAUCAGAAGAUAAAACACUCACAUUCCAUGCACUGGUACAAGCCCAUAGCACAACAUUUUUUUAAAAAAAGAGUUAAAACUGUCAUUGAAACCAUUAAAGAAUGAGGUUCGAGUCAAGAAGAUCAGGGGGAUGCUUAUCUAAAGAGGUGUGUAUUUGAGAGCUGGUGGAAUGCCAAUGCAAUUGGAACCUCUUGUGUUUCAGCAGAGAGGGCAUUCCACAACACUGGUACCACCAAUGAAAAAGACACACAGCCUGCCCUGCCUAAGCUAGUCAGCCAUCUCCCAGUAUGAUGGUGGAUGUCGUCCUGUUUCCAGUAAUGAAGUAAGAUUCAAUUGCCAGGCCAGCAUGUUUCUGUACAUGGAAGGGCUGUGUCCAACAGCUUGUCCUUUGCUUCAGGCAGCAAAAUAUCUUGGGCCAGUCCUUCAUCUCCAGCACUUAUGAGUCCUGGGACAGAGAUCUGAGGAGGCCUAGAUCAAAUGAAUCCCAUGCACAGACUCAGAGGGUCAAUGGGAUCUAACCUGACUUUUCCUGAAGAGUGAACCAUAUGAUUCUCCUCCUUUGCAUUCCCUCCCUCACCCUCUCUCCCAGUAUAUGAACUUCUAUUUAUUCAGCCUAGUUUUGCAGCUGAUUGCUAUUAAUCAAGACUUUCCUUUUAACCAAAAUAACACAAAUGCAAUCAGGCCUUCCGACUGCAAUUGGGCCCCCUGCAGUAGAAGAAAAUUUCACCUUUCCAUCAUUUCAUCACUGCUUUUUGUGUGGUGCAGACCUGUUUCUCUGCAGGUGUGUGGAAGUUCUGCUUCUCUCCUGUUGCUGGGAGAAAACUUCACCCUCCACCCCAGCCUGCUUGAAGCCUGCUUAUUCAGUCAUUUUUUAAAAUACGCUACUAUGUAGACAAAUAUCAUUGUUGGGUUAUAGGCAGCUGGAAGAUGAGGGGCAGGAACUACUAGCUCUAUCAAAAGUUCAACACAUGUAUUAUAGGAUAGCCAUUUAAAGGUUAAGGGACCCCUGACCAUUAGGUCCAGUCGUGGCCGACUCUGGGGUUGCGGUGCUCAUCUCACUUUAAUGGCCAAGGGAGCCAGCGUACAGCUUCCGGGUCAUGUGGCCAGCAUGACUAAGCCGCUUCUGGCAAACCAGAGCUGCGCACAGAAACACCGUUUACCUUCCCACCGGAGUGGUACCUAUUUAUCUACUUGCACUUUGACGUGCUUUCGAACUGCUAGGUUGGCAGGAGCAGGGACCGAGCAACGGGAGCUCACCCCGUCGCAGGGAUUCGAACCGCCGACCUUCUGAUCGGCAAGUCCUAGGCUCUGUGGUUUAACCCACAGCGCCACCCGCGCCCCUAGGAUAGCCAUUUACACGUCACCAAAAAACAGGCUGUGUGAUCUCUUUUUCCUUUUGAUCCUAGUACUCCAUGCUGUCUUCCUGCUCUCCCAUUGGCCCCUCAUCCACUAAAACCCUGGUCUCCUAUAUCCUAGUUUAAAACUCUAACCACUAUGCCACACAGCAUCUACGUAAAUGUUAGCAAAAAAGCAAAUAUUCAAUGUGCCCCCCAUGAAGGCCGAAGUUUGCAUAGCAACAUUGAAUUCAAUGGGGUUUCUCCUGCUUGUAUUGUUCAGGAUUUGUGUUCUCUUCUCAACAAAACAGUUUUUAACCUAAUCUCACUUUUCUGCUCUCUCCCCCCUCCCUUCUUCUUUUUUUAAACUAGAAGCCAGCACUCUCCUUAAAGUUGCUAUUAAACCAGCAAGCUCACUGGCACAGGGCUAAAUUAUAAGCAGUGGGUUAAUAUACUGGAAGCAAGGGAAUAGAGGCGAGGCAUUAUGAUACCUGGAGGAAGGUUAUGAACAAUACCGGCAAGGGAGAGAGAAGAGAACUUAAUUGGCUUAUUAGGGAAUAUGAGGCAUUCCCCUCACUGAGCUGAAAACACAACAUCAGCAGACUCCUGGCAACAAAUCCAUCGCUGAACUUUAUCACUUAAGGCAGCAGGUGGGGAUCGAAUGUUCAAAUGAUCCUACUCCCUGAAAAGCACACACACACAAUUCUGCAAUCUUGGCCUCUUCCUGGGAUUUUAGUUCUGUAUGCAUGGCAGUGUGGGUGGUGAGGUGUGUGUUGUGCAUCGAAUGUGGCUGAGGCCUGAACCCUGGGGUAAAUCAGACCUGUUCAGAGGGAGUUGGGCCUCAUUUCAGUUGUGUCUCCUUUCUGUGCCUCUCCUUCUUCCUGCCACUGCUAGGUAUUUCCUAGCCCCUUGAAGGAUCCUAUCAUGAAUGGUGGUGUUGCUUCAAGAGUGCCUUCCCUUGAACCCAAUCCCACAUGCUUCACCACCAACCUUUUGCAACUCCUAUUUAAACUUCAGGUUUAAAAACCUUUAGCUCCACCCCCAAAUUACUUCGGGGGCAGUUAUAGCAUGGGCUGGGAAAACCCUAGGGUGACACAAGGCAAAUUGGCCGAAUCCAGGCGCCAUAUGCCAGGGCCACAGGGCAGAUUGGACUAUGGUUUGUCUGUUCUCUGUGGGUUUUGAUUCAGUGGUUCAGUCACCUCUCAAGAUCUCAUUGCCAAACUCAGCAAAUUGAUGUUUGCAUGCCAGGCACUAUUUUCGAUCAAGAUGGCAGACCAAAACAUGACUUUGGCAUGACUUCACCUGAUUUUUGGUAUAGGUUUGGCCACCUCUUCUGAUAUCAUCACCAAACUCAGGGUUCCCAAGGUGUGGGCAGCUGUCUUUGUUGAUUUUUGGAUGUCAGGUGCCAUUUUGAAUCAAGAUGGAAGACCA